AUAAGGAGGAUCCGAGCGUUAUCCGGAUUUAUUGGGUUUAAAGGGUGCGCAGGCGGCCAUUUAAGUCAGCGGUUAAAUCGUGGGGCUCAACCCCAUUCUGCCGUUGAUACUGGGUGGCUUGAUUGCGGUCGAGGCUGGCGGCAUUCGUUGGGUAGCGGUGAAAUGCAUAGAUAUGACGAAGAACACCGAUUGCGUAGGCAGCUGACCAGACCGCAAAUGACGCUCAUGCACGAAAGUGCGGGGAUCGAACAGGAUUAGAUACCCUGGUAGUCCGCACAGUAAACGAUGAAUACUUGUUUUCGGCGAUAUAAUGUCGGAGGCAAAGCGAAAGCGAUAAGUAUUCCACCUGGGGAGCACGCCGGCAACGGUGAAACUCAAAGGAAUUGGCGGGG
rnacentral:rRNA from 1 species